rnacentral:rRNA from 1 species
GUCCAGACUCCUACGGGAGGCAGCAGUGGGGAAUAUUGCACAAUGGGGGAAACCCUGAUGCAGCGACGCCGCGUGGGUGAAGAAGUAUUUCGGUAUGUAAAGCUCUAUCAGCAGGGAAGAUAAUGACGGUACCUGACUAAGAAGCCCCGGCUAACUACGUGCCAGCAGCCGCGGUAAUACGUAGGGGGCAAGCGUUAUCCGGAUUUACUGGGUGUAAAGGGUGCGUAGGUGGCAGGGCAAGUCAGAUGUGAAAGCCCGGGGCUCAACCCCGGUACUGCAUUUGAAACUGUCCAGCUGGAGUGCAGGAGAGGUAAGCGGAAUUCCUAGUGUAGCGGUGAAAUGCGUAGAUAUUAGGAGGAACACCAGUGGCGAAGGCGGCUUACUGGACUGUAACUGACACUGAGGCACGAAAGCGUGGGGAGCAAACAGGAUUAGAUACCCCCGUA